rnacentral:rRNA from 1 species
GACGAACGCUGGCGGUGUGCUUAACACAUGCAAGUCGAACGGUAAGGCCCUUUCGGGGGUACACGAGUGGCGAACGGGUGAGUAACACGUGAGUAACCUGCCCUCAUCUCUGGGAUAACAGUCGGAAACGGUUGCUAAUACUGGAUAUGAGCUUGCAAGGCAUCUUGUGGGUUGGAAAGAUUUUUUUUGGUUGGGGAUGGACUCGCGGCCUAUCAGCUUGUUGGAGAGGUAGUGGCUCACCAAGGCUUCGACGGGUAGCCGGCCUGAGAGGGCGACCGGCCACAUUGGGACGGAGAUACGGCCCAAACUCCGACGGGAGGCAGCAGUGGGGAAUAUUGCACAAUGGACGGAAGUCUGAUGCAGCAACGCCGCGUGCGGGAUGACGGCCUUCGGGUUGUAAACCGCUUUCAAUUGUGACGAAGCUUUUUUGUGACGGUAGCAGUAGAAGAAGCACCGGCUAACUACGUG